AUGAGUGAAGCAAAUAAUGCAUUCAAUUUCGACCUGAUUAUAGGGUAAACCCACUCUUA
rnacentral:tRNA from 1 species